GUAUUGGUCCUUCAUCCCUAGAUAUGAUUUUUUAUAUUUACUUUAUUUGUCUAGGUCCAAACAUUUCCGCAGCCCAAAUCCAACCCGUUGGACGACUUAAUCCAGUAAUCUGAAUAGUUGCACAUUUGUGAACCUUCUGUCUGAUGAAUUUCAACAAAUCUAAAUACAGAUCUCAAUUGGCUGAAAUCUAAAUAUGUUUUAACAAUUGCCACAAUCAAACUGAAACUAAAAUUUGAUGUUUUUGGGUAAAGAAUAGCUCAAGGAUAAUUGUUUUCCCUUUUUGUUUUUAUAACACUUUAAAUAAAAUUUUGUUCCUAAAGUAUAACUUUUUACGCCACACAUGCGAGAUGCGACAUGGCCCGCCAGUCUAGGUGCGGGCCAGUCUAGUCUAUAUUUUAAAGUGAAUUGGAAAGUAGACCGCUAGCAAAAAAGAUUCGGGCGACUGGGCGAAGCCCAUCUCUGUACAAUGACUGCCAAAUGUGCAUGCAACUGUGCAAUGCGCAGCGACUCUAAAAGCAUGAAGUAUUUUACGGCACAUCCUUUACAAAUAUUUGGACAUAUUUUGUUAAUAGGCCCUAUGACAAUGGACUGGAAAAUUCACCUGCUUCAAUUCCCUCUUUCACGCAAUCAUACACUGUGUCAUUUCAAGCAUCUCAGUGUUUCAAUGCGGACAAUGCCCAAAACAGAGAUCAAGCCAUGCUUCAAUCCAGUCCAUGGAAAAAUUGUUGGGACAGGCGGUAGAAACUCUUAUGCUACAAGCUACGGCAUCUGCAAUUUUCCACUGAAUAUAGUGUGGACUCGGACAUACCGGAAUUGAUGAAAUUCAUUGUCAAUUCAUUGUCUGAUUACAUUUUGAUCCAGAAUACAUUCAAGGAUGAAAAAAUGGCUCAUAGGAUAUUUGUCAAGUCUCGGAGGUUGCUCCAAGAAAGACUGGAUUGGAGAAUCAUGAGCUCAAUUAUAACAAAUUUACUCGCCCGCUCUUUCAACUGUGCAGGACGCGGUGGAUAAGAAGGAGUGAGUGGGACGCCCUUAGUUUCUGCUAUUAAAGCUCUGGAUGAUCCGGCAACGAACUCCGAAUAAUUUUAUUACAUGUAUACAUAUUUGUAAAAUAAAGACAUUUUGCUAUC